GAGAGACCAACGUUUCUGUGGAUGUGAAUUUCGAGUAAGAUGGCGGCGCCUAGAUCCCUCAGUCGGAUGCACGCUCUCCUUGGCCAGAGACAACCCCGAGUCUCAUCAAAACCAGCAAUUUGGAGGAGCUUCUCAUUGAAUCUGAAGUUUGCUGAUCUACCUAGACUGUCUAGCCAGCAAGUCCCAGGGACCCUCCAGGGGUUCUGAAUUCAGGUCCUUGUGUUUGUGCGCAAUAUCUUGAAGACAGUGUCAGUCUUGAAGAAACUCCAGGAAGAUCACAGGAAGCAAUACUUCUCAACUUAAUUUUUAAGGAAGGAGAACAUCAUCCUCUUAGUAAGAUGAGAAAAUUGAAAUGAAGCCACAAUUACACAUGAGUCCACACUUGUGAGCACAGAUACAAAAGUUCUAAACAAAAAUCUCAGCAGCGAUGAGUUCAAAGGCUAACUGACCCAUGAAGAUCAGAUUCCACCUUAGAAGUUCAGGCUUGGUGACCUGAAUUCAACUCUGGGACCCACAAGGCUGGAGGAAGAAAAUCAGUUCCACUUGCAACAUGUCCUCUGAUCUUUACAAGUGCCUCCAUCACAAAUAGCAUGUGUGCACUACACCCCCCCACACACACACACACCAAACUAAUAGGUAACGGGACGGGAUUUGGAAAAUGAUGUAGAAAUAUUGCUAGAGGGACUGCAGAGUUAGCUCAGCAGUGAAGAGCAUGGUAGCUCACACCUGUAACCCCAACCGCAGGGGAUUUGAUAGCCCUUCCUGACUUCCCAAGGCACCAGGCAUGCAUGGGAUGCAUCGACAUGUGUGCAGGCAAAACAUUCACACACAUAAAACAAUAAAAUAAAUCUUAAAAUAUACGGCUGAGGAUGUAACUCCCAGUUGGGAGAGAGCACCACAAAACUGGACAUGGUGGUACACAUCUGUAAUCAACCUUAGCAGUCAGGAGGUGGAGGCAGGAGGAUCAGAAUGUAUGGGAGAUGGGGUCUCAUGGAGCCCAGGCUAGUCUCCAACCUGCUAAGUAGUCCAAGCUACCCCUUGAUCCUGGUCCUCCAGCUCAUCACCCUUCUGAAUGCUGGUUUAAGGUCUGGUUUCAUUUUUAUUUGUCUCUCCCCCACCAUACCACACCACACACACGAUGCCACACACACACACACACAGCCCCCCACAUA